CCUACGGGUGGCAGCAGUGAGGAAUAUUGGUCAAUGGACGCAAGUCUGAACCAGCCAUGCCGCGUGCAGGAAGACGGCUCUAUGAGUUGUAAACUGCUUUUGUACGAGGGUAAACGCAGAUACGUGUAUCUGUCUGAAAGUAUCGUACGAAUAAGGAUCGGCUAACUCCGUGCCAGCAGCCGCGGUAAUACGGAGGAUUCAAGCGUUAUCCGGAUUUAUUGGGUUUAAAGGGUGCGUAGGCGGUCGGAUAAGUUAGGGGUGAAAUCCCGGGGCUCAACUUCGGAAUGGCCUCUGAUACUGUGCGGCUAGAGAGUAGUAGAGGUAGGCGGAAUGUAUGGUGUAGCGGUGAAAUGCGUAGAGAUCAUACAGAACACCGAUUGCGAAGGCAGCUUACCGAGCUACUUCUGACGUUGAGGCACGAAAGCGUGGGGAGCAAACAGGAUUAGAUACCCCAGUAGUC
rnacentral:rRNA from 1 species